CUGAUCUAAUGAUCCUCAUGCCCUACAAAAGAAAGGAUUGUGUGACCACAACGUGAACAUAGACCCCUAGCCAGAAACCGCAAGGGCGGGUACCCACAACCUUACUUUUCCUCCACCUCCACGGACGGCUUUGAUCAUAACAGGAUACCCGAUUUUCCCAGCAUGCUCUUUCAGGCACUGAUCAGAUUGGUCCUUGCCAUGGUAGCCUUCCACAACAGGUACUCCAGCGGCAGCCAUGAUGGACUUGGACGUGCUUUAGAGGAAAGACACCAAGACGACCCAAUGAAUUAUCUACAAACCAUAACUCUUUCAAGAAAUCAUCUUGCAGAUGAAGGAGGACCUAUAAAAAUGAUUCCUUCUUGCUUACAAAGUUCAGCAAACUCCAUGUUUUCCGACAGAAAACCAUAUCCUGGAUGGAUGGCCUAGAGGAGAGAAAGCACAAGAAGCUCACCCGCUAGCUCUCAACUGGCAAAGCUGCCUCCCAGAGACCUCUUCAGACACGGCUGACAAGACAGCAAGGUCUCUGUCAGAACUUGCCCCCGAUGAUGCCUAGAAUAUUCAUGUUGAACUUCUGAAGCCUGUUUUACACCAGGAAAAUCUCUUGGUUUUCUUUUUUUCACAUCAAACUCAGGGUUUCGUGUGUACUAAGGCAAGUUGUCUACCACGGAGUUACGUCCUCAGCCUUGAAUCUUUUAUUGUAGUAGAACAUAUGAAACCUACAAGGCUCAUAACCUGCAGUCUCAGCAGUUGUGAGCACGUGAUUCCCAUCAGUGUCACCCUCCUGCCAUCAUCAGUGCCUAUCUCCAAAACACUGUCACCAUCCCAGACCUAAUCCCUAUGGCUAGGCAGCUAAUGUUUCUCCUUCCAUUUCAUUUACAGGUAUAGAUGUCACCUAUUGAUGGAACUGCAAUUUAACAUUGCAUGAUUUCAAAGUUCACCCAUGUGGCAACCUAUACGAGAAUUUCACCUAUUUUAAGGCUAAUAUUUCACUCUACGUACUUUCUACAUUUGUUCCUCCACUAUUUCAUUCACAAGCAUAUGAGUUGUUUCUACUUUUUAUCUUCUAUAAAGAAUGUGACGGUGAACCCUAGUA